CGGACGGGUGAGUAACGCGUGGGGAACCUGCCCUGUACAGGGGGAUAACACUUAGAAAUAGGUGCUAAUACCGCAUAAGCGCACAGUAUCGCAUGAUACAGUGUGAAAAACUCCGGUGGUACAGGAUGGACCCGCGUCUGAUUAGCUGGUUGGCGGGGUAACGGCCCACCAAGGCGACGAUCAGUAGCCGGCCUGAGAGGGUGAACGGCCANAUUGGGACUGAGACACGGCCCAAACUCCUACGGAAGGCAGCAG
rnacentral:rRNA from 1 species